rnacentral:rRNA from 1 species
AGGACGAACGCUGGCGGCGUGCUUCAUACAUGCAAGUCGAACGAGAAUCUCACUUCGGUGAGAGGAAAGUGGCGGACGGGUGAGUAAUGUGUAGAGAAUCUGCCCUAGAGUGAGGGACAACAGAGGGAAACUUCUGCUAAUACCUCAUAUGCGCGUAGCUGAGAUGCUAUUCGUGAAAACUCCGGUGCUCUGGGAUGAGUCUGCAUCUGAUUAGCUAGUUGGGGGUGUAAUGGACCACCAAGGCGACGAUCAGUAGCUGGUUUGAGAGGAUGAUCAGCCACAAUGGGACUGAGACACGGCCCAUACUCCUACGGGAGGCAGCAGUAGGGAAUUUUGCGCAAUGGGGGGAAAAACCCCCUGACGCAGCAACGCCGCGUGAACGAAAAAGCCCUUCGGGGUGUAAAGUUCUGUCAGUGGGGACGAAACUUGACGGUACCCACAGAGGAAGCAUCGGCUAACUCCGUGCCAGCCGCCGC